CAGCACCCUAUUUCAUUAAAAAAACAAACAAAGCAAGUUUUAAUGUUUAAAUAUUUGCUCAUCCUGGCUAUUUGUGCAUUACCCAGGGAUCUCUCCAAAUCCCUGGUGAGGAUAAUCCCAGUCCCAAAGGACUGUUAAACCUGUAAAGCACAUCUUUUCCCAAAUGUGAUUUCCAGUGUGAGGCUGCUCUAACUGCUGACAGUGCUCUUAAAGCCUCAUGGCAGGCUUGGUAUCACUGGUGCUGUCCCAGAGCUCCACUGAAGCAGGAGAACAAACACUGAGAGGGGAACCUGCUGUCCGUGCUGUCAAGCAGCUCAGAGCCCCUCUGCUGAUUUCCAGUGUUGCUGAAACUGGCAGAGGAGGAAGUUGUUUCCUGGAUUGUAUUAGUACAAACCUGAGCAUUUUGAUAUAAACCUCUCCUUUCUGAUCAGACCAAUUCCUGAAAUUACAACAUCCAGCUUUACAGACAGGGUAUGGCUGAGGGCUGGUUUGCAGGAACACACAUCUGGGUACAUGGUGGGUGGUUUUAAUCAGCGUCAGAUUACUGUGUCUUAGACCCCAAGCUCUUCCUUCACUAGAAAUGACAGCCUAAUUUACUUGAUUCCUGUCUGUGACACUGCAAACUCCUCCACACGGAGGAGUUACUCAGAAGGUGUGUUAGCACUGCCCCCACCUUGCAAGGAGAUUACCCAGCCCAAGGCCACAAACAGAAGAACUCAAAAGUGAGAAUUCGUUUUCUAGGUACCAAUCCUGUGUUCAAGGAAAUAAGAUGCUGCUCUCCCAUUAAAAUACUUACUUUGGGUGCUUAAACAUUACCUGUAGGUUUUAAGCAGAAGUCUGCUAAUGCCCUGAGCAACUCAAUCUAACUUUGAACUGAGCCCAGCUUUGAAUGUGACCUUGGACCAGAUACCCCACAAGGAUCGCUGUCACUCUGUUCUUACAGUAAUCCUGUGCUGUUCUGUGCUGCUUUGCUGUUGUGUUGGAUUUUGGGGGAAACUUGUUUUACCCUCCUGUGUCCUAUUUAAAAGCUGUGCCAAAGGAGCACCGAGGGGAGCAGCCCCAGCCGUGCAAGCCAAAGCUGGACUGGGACCCGCCCGUGCCAGGGUUUGUGCCCAGGGCGACAUCAAGUCCAGCACAGGUGAGUGGCACAGCCCACACAGACAGGGGCUGCUCAGGCUGUGGUUUUGCUGUAUCUGCCUUAAAAUACAAAUUUUCAAACCCACCUCCUCAAAAAUCUCCUUCCUUUACUCACCUGCCAAAACCUGAGCCCACGGUUCUGUGGUUUCUCUUGCAAGAGUUGAUUAUGCCAUUGAGCUGCAUCAGCUGUUGCAGGAGAAACAUGAGCCAUGAAUUUGGGCCCCAGCAGGCACAAGGCCUUUAAUUUCACCUUAGGAAAAAAAAGAUCUUUUGAUUGGUUGUUAAGACUAGACUUGGAUGGGUUUUAUGGGGCUGGGUUCAGGAAUUUUUUUAAUGCAUGCAAGUGAGAGUACAGAAAGGAGGAAAAACAAGGGAGAAGCACUCAUGAUAUGUUUUAAUGUGUGAGACUCAGAUGGUUGCUUUGUCAGAUUUUGGGAUUUUGGAAGGACCUGAGCGGUGGCAGAGGGGACUCAGCAUUGGCUGCAGCUGAUUAGGUCUCAGUAGUGUUAUAAUCUCUAUGUUUGGGCCAGUUGGUAUGUUUGAGGUGCACUUGAUGUGCUGCAGCAGAUAACAAUGACAAAACUGACGUGUAGUCAUUUGAUCAGAACUUUUCUUAAAACCCCUUUGGACUUAGGGAGGUACUGAAGGUCCUUAGAGCUCACUGUAAUCAGUUUAUGAAAGUAAAUUUUCUAUGUUGCUUUGUUUUAAUAAUAACUCACGUUAAAUGAACUUAUUGUCUGCACCCCAUUUUGAUUCUCCAAAGAGCUCUUGCAAAUUAUUCACUUCCUGAGAUUGUUUUUGUAGGUUCAAGGAAGGAAGUUCUUUGAUGAUACUGACCUCUUUCAAAAAUUGUAUUUAUAUUUGGCAAAACUAAUUAAGUAACAAAAUAGAAGAAACUGCUGAUUAGCUCUGCAGCACUACUGCAAAAAAAUCUUAUUUGCAUUAAUUUAAGACAUGAAUUUGUUUCAACUUCAGUUAUGUCUUUUUAAAAGUUUGUGAGUGCUGGGUAUUCACUUAACUGCACAGGUGCUGAUUGAAGGGAAAUAUUAAUUUCAAAUACAUGAGGGAAGCAAAUUGUAAAUGUGUAUGCAUGUGCUGCUGCUGAGAACUUGCAGCUCUCUGUGCACAGGGGUUUGCUCUUUGUCUCUCCAGGAAGUCGACACAAGAACAGAACAUGGCUCAGCCGUGCCGGCAGUUAAACCCUGACAAUUUGAGGGAACGUUUCUAAUCAUGACUGAGCACAACUAAACCAAUUUUAUCAGAGGUUUCAAUCCCAAAUGCCCCAGAACUGGAGUGUGAAAGCCCCAUCCCUGUGUUGGUUGCUUGAGUGCUGCUGACCCAGCUGCAGUAAAGGAGCACCAAGAGCAGUGACUGCAAAGGAGCCAUAAAGCAAAACUCCUUCAUCCCAAACCUGAAGGGACCAGCUCUCAUUCUGGCCAGGAGCACCUGAGCUAAGGCAGACUUUUCUCGCUGGUAUCAAAGCUUUUAGCCCAGAACUGUGAGCCCCUGUCCCACAGAGGAGACUGGAAAAAAUUGCAUUUAAGUUUUCUCUUAGCUGUGCUGGAAUGUGCUCUCCUAGGCCUGCCUCUGGUCAGGGUUCAGAGAUAAAACUGGCUUUAUUCCAGUGCUUAACUUAAAGAUGACAGUCAUCUCUGUGAGAUGGGAUUAUUUGUGUGCAUUUCUUGAAGCCUUUCUGAGCAGAAGCUUGUGUGGCUUCUAGGACUGUGGCAGGGCCCAGGUUGUUACAUCUAGCUAAUUAAUUGUUUGAUAAUUGUAAAUGACUUGCUCAUUAUUUGUACCAAGUCUGUUGUUCUAGUUAUAUAUAUAUAUAUAUCUAAAAUAAAACAUCUUUUAUAUAUGAAUAUAUAUAUAACUAACAUCUGUUAUGUACACUGUGCUUAACACAAAAGACAUAGUUAAGAAUGAGUUGUUCUGCUGCUUUUAUGGCCUAUUUAUUUUAGUAAUGUGAAAUACUUAAUUUUAUUUAUAAACCAGAGAAGAGUGCUGAUGAAGAAAUACUUCUCAGGAUAGCUGACAUUGCCAAUUUAAAUGUCUGUAAAGCUUUAUCAAAGUUUAUUACCAAAAAAAUUGAGAAUGGAUCAAUUCUAGGCAGUACUCUGCUUUGCUGUGUAUAUGAACAAUAUUUGUUAGCUAGAUAGUGCCCCACAGCCACUGUGCUAUUUAACAUUUAAAGGUCUUUAAAGCCCAGAUUCCAUUAAUUGCUUUAAAUUCCCUGGAAUUUCCUUGCAAAUUCCUUGUUUGCCAGUCCUUUGCAGAGACAGCAAGACAGGCUCCCUCAGCCUCCCAUGGCUCUCCAAUACAUGAGCACCUCCACAGAAUGCACACAUACAGAGCCCUGUCUGCCUGCAGAGCUGCAGAAAGAGCCAGGGGAAAUUACAUUCUCAUAUAGGUUAUUUCAUCAGUGCAAAAGAACUAUAACACGUUGCAGAAAAUUGAAAGCCACCUUAGCAGGAUAGAAGUUUUAUGUAUAUUCUGUUCCCAGCACUCAAGGCUAUUUUUCAGUUGUCACAGCCAGAGGUACUGUGCAUGCCUAGAGGUAGCAGAAGUAAUAUUCUUAAUUUGUUAUUGAUUAUUUGAUGGCUCCCUAUUUAACCAGUCAUGUAUUUGUCAGUGGAACAUAAUUGCUGAACACAAGUAACUCUUCAGGGAAUAAAACAUAAUACUCCAAAAGGAAUUUUGUGACACGUUGUUUGAAGAGGCCACUUUAAACCACAGGGUUUGUUUGGGGUUUGGUUUGGCUUGGUUUAGUUUUCUUAGGGAAUGAAGGGAGUUAGGUUUUGUUUUGGUGUUUUGUUGUUUUGUUUUUUUUUAAUUCUCCAAACCUACUCGUGGAGGCAUAAAUUAUAAUAUUACACCUACAUACAGAUUUGCAUUAGCAAACUUGAUUGUAGAGCCAAAUUACCUUAUUUUUGCUUUCCAGAAAUCCCUUUCAUAUGUACUGAAGUAUUGUUUUUAAUGUAUAAAUAGAAAUAUCUGGAAAAUUUGUAAUCUCUGAAAUGUGCAAAGCAGGAUUCGCUGUAAAAAAAAAAAUUUAUUUUCGAUGUAAACUAAAGCCAAACCUGAUGCCUAGAAUUCAAUUUCUUUUUCAAAAAUGAAAGAAAUUUUUAGGGUGUGGCCUCACUUAAUACAUUCAACGAAGUGUCCAUCUAUGCCAUGAAGUGUACUGUGCUUGGUGAGUAAUUACAUCAACUUCCUAUAAUGUACCAUUUGCAUUAUGUGUGUCAACAGAAACAUCUGGACUGACUUCUUAAUUUAAA